rnacentral:rRNA from 1 species
GGCAGCCGCGGUAAUUCCAGCUCCAAUAGCGUAUAUUAAAGUUGUUGCAGUUAAAAAGCUCGUAGUUGAAUUUCGGGGUUAGUAGGUUGGUCAUGCCUCUGGUAUGUACUGGUCUCACUGAUUCCUCCUUCCUGAUGAGCCGUAAUGCCAUUAAUUUGGUGUUGCGGGGAAUUUGGACUGUUACUUUGAAAAAUUAGAGUGUUUAAAGCAAGCUAACGCUUGAAUACAUUAGCAUGGAAUAAUGGAAUAGGACGUUCGAUCCUAUUUUGUUGGUUUCUAGGAUUGACGUAAUGAUUAAUAGGGUUAGUUGGGGGCAUUAGUAUUCAAUUGUCAGAGGUGAAAUUCUUGGAUUUAUUGAAGACUAACUACUGCGAAAGCAUUUGCCAGGGAUGUUUUCAUUAAUCAAGAACGAAAGUUAGGGGAUCGAAGACGAUCAGAUACCGUCGUAGUCUUAACCAUAAACUAUGCCGACUAGGGAUCGGAUGAUGUUAAUUUUUUAAUGUACUCA